CCACCAUCAGCUUCUCCUGCAUCUCCUGCCGCAGUUUGAGCGCCACCUGUGCCGACAGAUUUAAGAUAUUACUGCAGGGAUGGCGGGUAGAGACGCAGGGCUGGAGACUUCGCUGACAUCCACCUCUGGAUCUUCAGCCUUCGCCUCAUUGAUAGCAGCCUGCAGCAUGUUAAUCUGAGCAAAGGAUGGAGAAGGAAAGUUAGGAGGGCA